GGCUCAGGAUGAACGCUAGCGGCAGGCUUAACACAUGCAAGUCGAGGGGUAUAGUUCUUCGGAACUAGAGACCGGCGCACGGGUGCGUAACGCGUAUGCAAUCUACCUUUGCAGAGGGAUAGCCCAGAGAAAUUUGGAUUAAUACCUCAUAGUAUAGCAGUUUCGCAUGAAACCACUAUUAAAGUCACAACGGCAAAAGAUGAGCAUGCGUCCCAUUAGCUAGUUGGUAAGGUAACGGCUUACCAAGGCUACGAUGGGUAGGGGGUCCUGAGAGGGAGAUCCCCACACUGGUACUGAGACACGGACCAGACUCCUACGGGAGGCAGCAGUGAGGAAUAUUGAACAAUGGGCGCAAGCCUGAUCCAGCCAUGCCGCGUGCAGGAUGACGGUCCUAUGGAUUGUAAACUGCUUUUGUACAGGAAGAAACACUCCCUCGUGAGGGAGCUUGACGGUACUGUAAGAAUAAGGAUCGGCUAACUCCGUG
rnacentral:rRNA from 1 species